rnacentral:rRNA from 1 species
UGGGGAAUUUUCUGACAAUGGGCGCAAGCCUGAUCCAGCCAUGCCGCGUGUCUGAAGAAGGCCUUCGGGUUGUAAAGGACUUUUGUCAGGGAAGAAAAGGCUGUUGCUAAUACCGACAGCUGAUGACGGUACCUGAAGAAUAAGCACCGGCUAACUACGUGCCAGCAGCCGCGGUAAUACGUAGGGUGCGAGCGUUAAUCGGAAUUACUGGGCGUAAAGCGAGCGCAGACGGUUACUUAAGCAGGAUGUGAAAUCCCCGGGCUCAACCUGGGAACUGCGUUCUGAACUGGGUGACUAGAGUGUGUCAGAGGGAGGUAGAAUUCCACGUGUAGCAGUGAAAUGCGUAGAGAUGUGGAGGAAUACCGAUGGCGAAGGCAGCCUCCUGGGAUAACACUGACGUUCAUGCUCGAAAGCGUGGGUAGCAAACAGGAUUAGAUACCCUGGUAGUCCACGCCCUAAACGAUGUCAAUUAGCUGUUGGGCAACUUGAUUGCUUAGUAGCGUAGCUAACGCGUGAAAUUGACCGCCUGGGGAGUACGGUCGCAAGAUUAA